rnacentral:lncRNA from 1 species
AACCUUCUAGUUAUAUCUAUAACACGAAUUCAUUACAAAACAUUUGUCAUAUCAUCCACAUAUACCUCAUAUUUUGAGUCUUUAUUCAGCAUAUCAAUAGUUGUAAAGAAAAUGAACAAAUGAGGAGUCCACAUUAAACAUCAAAAAUCAAUUGGUCAUGUUUAUGCAAACUGAAAUUCUCAAUUUGGGAUCAAGUGGCUAUCAGUUGAGAUCUCUCCUAACAAAGUAGACCAAACUUAGAAUAAUUAACACAUAACAUUAUAAGGAAAUCAAAGUAAAGGCUAAAUGACAAUGUUUUUGAGUAACUUCAACAAUAAACCAUACCCUGAUCGUUUUUUGCUUUGAAUAUAAUCAUUCCAGUCUCGUCAACUACCAAGCAUUUAGCAAGACGCAUUUAGUGUCCUUAACCUCCCUGCAUUAUCAUCUUUGACUAAAAACCUUUAGAGUUAGGUUAUAUUAGUAUACAUUCUAGGCAUUAUGAAAUAUUAAUGUAUAUUUCUUUUUGGCAUUUAAUCAAACAUGUAAUGUACACAUUUUACAGAUAAAGAUCAACAUACACAAAUUUCUGUAUCAAUAGAAUCUCAUAGCAAGCAUAUGCACAACAAUAUAUAAGCAUACAUAAUAACAUAUAUACAAUUAAAAGAGGCAUAAGAGCAAACAACUUUAUUAAAUCAUCAGCCUUUUUGAGAAAUUGAUUAAACAGCCAUACCACAAAAUACAUGUAAAACAAUUACUAAACAAAUAGAAAAAGUGAUGAAAAACAGAUAACCAAAAAGAAUGUCAAUAUCCUCACCUGAGAACUUUAGCAGCAUAAAUUAUCCAUUAACUUCAACUGCACUUACUCUAUAAUUCAACAUCUACUAAUUUUACCAAAAUUUUGAAUUUUUAUAACCUUUUUAGCAACAGUCAAAUUCUGAUCAUGACCAAUUAAAAAACAUAAAACAGACCCAUCACCCAAAAAUCUAUUUUAUUCCAGGAAAAUAAAUAAAGCAAAUCGGUUGAUGCAAUCUGAUUAUAUCAGAACUGGAAUUGAGUAGGAAUUUAAAUUGAAUAAUUUAUAAGUUUCAUCAAUGCAACACCUUGCCUCCCAAUGUUUCUCAAUUUUUUUCCACCCCGACUACUCCAACUCAACUCCGCACAACAGUUGUUGUUACUGUUAAUCUAAAUACAUAAUUAUUAUUUAUUUUGUCUCUAAACCUUAAAAAAUUAAAAAUAAAAUUUCUUCUUCCAAAGAAUAUCAAACUCUUUUUCCCCCAAAUCAUUAAAUAAUCUCACAUAAACAACAUCAAUGCCCAUGUCCAUCAAGUCAUUAAAUCAUCUCACAUGAACAACAUUAAAACACUUAAGUGUGUACCUGGCGAAUUCAAAAUCAAAACCCUUGGACAACUCUAUUCUCCGCAAUCAAUAUGUGAGGCUGCUAAAAAUUUGUGAAUUUCAAUAGGCACUGUAGUUCUGCUCACAAAGUACCUUCUCAUCAAAUCUAUAAAAAAUUCAACAAAUACUAAUCAAUAUAUAUAAAUAUACAUGUUUAAUUUAAUACUAUAUUAUUUUAAAUUUAGAUAUUAAAUCCAUUAAUACAAUAUUAUUUAUAAAUUUAAGUAGUAAUAAUACUUUUCAUUUUAUUUUUUCUCAAAAAUCAAACAGAAAACAUAACAAACUUGAUUUCACGAUGCAAACCAGUUCAGUUCAACCUCUAUUUAUCUCAUGUUUUCCCCUAGGUAGCAUAUUCUCUAUGCAUUGAGAAAACAGACAAAGCAUAAUUAUUCAAGAAUUAAUGAUUAAUGAUUGGAAAAUAAUUCCAUAAUUAUGCCUCAACAAUUAACGAAAAUUAAAUCUAAAAUUGAAAUAAAUUAUUCAAGAAUUUCACGCAAGAUGAAUUGAAACAAUAUAGUCAUUAAUUUUUGAACAAAUCCAUGAACAAAAAAACCCAAAUCACAUACCUAAUUUUCAAGAAGAAAAAACCCCAAUCAUAUACCUAAUUCAUUUUUGUACAAAUUCAUAAUGAAACCAUCCCAAAUCAGAGAUCCAAUUCAUUUAUGAACAAACCCUUAAAGCAGAAUUCACAAAUAUAUAGACACAAGAAAUUAAAGAAGAAAAAGAAUAUGAAGACACACAAAAGUUGCAUAAGGCUUACAGCCGAUAAGAAUUCGGUUUAGCGAAGUUGAGGAGGUGGAUAAAGGGAUCAACGACGACACAUGAAGUUUUCUUGCUGUGAGUUGGUGGAUUAAAUAGAGUGAUUGUCAUGAGGGGGAGAAGAGAUUUGAGAGAAUUGAAGGGAGGAUAAGAGAUUUAAGAGAACUGAAGGGAGGAGAAACUAGAGGGUCUGAAGAGUUAAACGAAAACGAUGAUACGUAUACGGAAGAGUAAGAGCUCAG